CCGUGAGGUGGAGCAAAACUCAAAAAAUAGAUCUCAGUUCGGACUGUAGGCUGCAACUCGCCUACACGAAGUUGGAAUUGCUAGUAAUCGUGGAUCAGCAUGCCACGGUGAAUACGUUCCCGGGUCUUGUACACACCGCCCGUCACACCAUGGGAGCUGGUAACACCCGAAGUCAGUAGUCUAACCGCAAGGAGGACGCUGCCGAAGGUGGGAUUAGCGACUGGGGUGAAGUCGUAACAAGGUACC
rnacentral:rRNA from 1 species